CUGGGCAACUCAGUGAGACCUUGUCUCAAAAAUAAAAAAUUAAAAGGGCUGGGGAUGUAGCUCAGUGCCAAGGGCCUCAGUGCGAAGGGGUUCAAUUGGCGGUACCACACAAAAAAACAAAGCAAACAAUUUAGUAAAGCCAAUGAGAGCCUCUGCCGCCGCAGCCCCCUCAGAAGUCUGCUACCAGCCUGUGCUCGUGUCUGUGGAGGGCAAAGGCCGCUGUGUUUUGGAAAAGCUGCUGUUAGGCAGCCGGGCCCUCCUCGUGUGGCCUCGGCCUGUGGGUUCGAGUCUCCUGCAGGAACUGCACUCUGAAUUUGGGUCCUGCGUGCUGAACACAGGCUUCGUCUCCACGACUACACAUGUGUGACUUUAUGGAGACCUCUUUGCCUUUGCCCUCUGCCUGGAGACAUUGCUCGUUUCAUGACCCACCUGUUUAACGACUGUUUGGACUUACAACCCGCUGCUUGGACUUCUGACCUGUCAUUUUUUUGUUCGGUUCCUUACACCUUGUUUAUAGACAGUGCACCUUGUUCAUACAGUGCCGUGAGUUUUGCUGACGGCACUGUCCGGAGCAGCACUGUCGUUUUGCUCUGUGAUACAUCACAGAACUGCACGGAAGGGUUCUGCAAAUAAAAGCGACGCCAUCACG